UACGUAGGGGGCAAGCGUUGUCCGGAUUCAUUGGGCGUAAAGAGCGUGUAGGCGGCCAGGCAGGUCCGCUGUGAAAACUCGAGGCUCAACCUCGAGAUGUCGGUGGAAACCGUCUGGCUAGAGUCCGGAAGAGGAGAGUGGAAUUCCCGGUGUAGCGGUGAAAUGCGCAGAUAUCGGGAAGAACACCCGUGGCGAAAGCGGCUCUCUGGGACGGUACUGACGCUGAGACGCGAAAGCGUGGGGAGCGAACAGG
rnacentral:rRNA from 1 species